rnacentral:rRNA from 1 species
UAAAGAUUCAUCGCUGAUAGAUAGGCAUGCGUUCCAUUAGGCAGUUGGCGGGGUAACGGCCCACCAAACCGACGAUGGAUAGGGGUUCUGAGAGGAAGGUCCCCCACAUUGGUACUGAGACACGGACCAAACUCCUACGGGAGGCAGCAGUGAGGAAUAUUGGUCAAUGGGCGUAAGCCUGAACCAGCCAAGUCGCGUGAGGGAUGAAGGUUCUAUGGAUCGUAAACCUCUUUUAUAAGGGAAUAAAGUGCGGGACGUGUCCCGUUUUGCAUGUACCUUAUGAAUAAGGAUCGGCUAACUCCGUGCCAGCAGCCGCGGUGAUACGGAGGAUCCGAGCGUUAUCCGGAUUUAUUGGGUUUAAAGGGUGCGUAGGCGGCCUUUUAAGUCAGCGGUGAAAGUCUGUGGCUCAACCAUAGAAUUGCCGUUGAAACUGGGAGGCUUGAGUAUGUUUGAGGCAGGCGGAGUGCGUGGUGUAGCGGUGAAAUGCUUAGAUAUCACGCAGAACCCCGAUUGCGAAGGCAGCCUGCCAAGCCAUGACUGACGCUGAUGCACGAAAGCGUGGGGAUCAAACAGGAUUAGAUACCCUGGUAGUCCACGCAGUAAACGAUGAUCACUAGCUGUUUGCGAUACACAGUAA